CAAAUUUCAUGAUAAUUAGCUAGAACCAAAAAUAAUUAAUUUACAACAAAGAAUGGAGGCUCUUAGCUCAAGCCAGCAAUCACUCAGAUGUUGUGAAAAGUUGGAAGAUGGGAAAGUGGAGUGCAAGUGUGCAGAAGGAUGGUCUUGUUCUGUUACCAAAACAGAGAGUUCCAAGGCUGGCAAACCCUUUUGCCAAUGUUCCAGCGGCAUCAAUUGUACCCGCCUGGAAGAAUCUGAUCCAGAGGCACAAAAAGCACUAGAGGGAUCAGAUGGUUGCAAGGUGAUGUGCAAGACAGAUGCAGGAUAUACUUGUAAAAUAAGCAAAGCAGGGGAAGUUAUAGCUGAAUGCGGAGAAGGUUGCAUUUGCUUUGUGGAUGAAACUGGGAAUGUUAAAUGCAUAACAAAAGCAACUGAAACGUCAUGCUGUGCCUCUGGUUGUAACUGAUAAUAUUAUUAAGACUGAUGUUGGAAUUUG
rnacentral:misc_RNA from 1 species